rnacentral:rRNA from 1 species
CUACGGGAGGCUCCAGUGGGGAAUCUUAGACAAUGGGCGCAAGCCUGAUCUAGCCAUGCCGCGUGAGUGAUGAAGGCCUUAGGGUCGUAAAGCUCUUUCGCCAGAGAUGAUAAUGACAGUAUCUGGUAAAGAAACCCCGGCUAACUCCGUGCCAGCAGCCGCGGUAAUACGGAGGGGGUUAGCGUUGUUCGGAAUUACUGGGCGUAAAGCGCACGUAGGCGGAUUAGAAAGUUAGGGGUGAAAUCCCGGGGCUCAACCUCGGAACUGCCUCUAAAACUCCUAGUCUAGAGUUCGAGAGAGGUGAGUGGAAUUCCAAGUGUAGAGGUGAAAUUCGUAGAUAUUUGGAGGAACACCAGUGGCGAAGGCGGCUCACUGGCUCGAUACUGACGCUGAGGUGCGAAAGUGUGGGGAGCAAACAGGAUUAGAUACCCUCGUAGUC